rnacentral:misc_RNA from 1 species
GAUGAAGAACGUAGCGAAAUGCGAUACUUGGUGUGAAUUGCAGAAUCCCGUGAACCAUCGAGUCUUUGAACGCAAGUUGCGCCUCAAGCCAUUAGGUUGAGGGCACGUCUGCCUGGGCGUCACAUAUCGUUGCCUGAUGCCAGUUUCCUCGUGAUGGGUGACUGUGCAGGGCGAAUGAUGUCUUCCCGUGAGCAUUGUUGCCUCAUGGUUGGUUGAAAAUUGAGUCCUUGGUAGGGAGCGCCGUGAUAGAUGGUGGUUGAGUGACGAACGAGACCCAAUCAUGUGAGACCCCUACCGAAUUUGGCCUUCAUGACCCACAUGCGUCUUUGGAACGCUCAUGACGAGACCUCAGGUCAGGCGGGGCUACCCGCUGAGUUUAAGCAUAUCAAUAAGCGGAGGA